rnacentral:rRNA from 1 species
UACGGGGGGGGCAAGCGUUGUUCGGAAUUACUGGGCGUAAAGGGCUCGUAGGCGGCCAACUAAGUCAGACGUGAAAUCCCCCGGCUUAACCAGGGAACUGCGUCUGAUACUGGAUGGCUUGAGGUUGGGAGAGGGAUGCGGAAUUCCAGGUGUAGCGGUGAAAUGCGUAGAUAUCUGGAGGAACACCGGUGGCGAAGGCGACAUCCUGGACCAAUUCUGACGCUGAGUGAGCGAAAGCCAGGGGAGCAAACGGG